UCACCCUUGGUCCCGCCCAACACGGCGCCCACCGGGUCACGGGAGGACAAGCGACCCGAGCCUGGGGGGCGGUGCUGGCCUUGGUGACGUCUCAAUGUCAUAUGCAAAUAGUGCGACGUCAAGGUCUACCGGCGCGCGGCAACCAAUAGGGAGCCCGGAACGCAGCCCCAGCGGCCGGCCGCGGAGAUAGACAAAGGCCCCGACACAGGGGGCGCAGGGCGUGUCCCCGGGCUCAGGGAGCCCGGGGGCCCAAGCUGGCGGGGACUCACCUGGGACCCGGAGCGACGCGGCAGGCGGGGUGAUGCUGAGCUCUCUCCCCGGUUCAGGGGGGAGCACCAGCAAGUGAGGGGAAGUCGGUGA
rnacentral:lncRNA from 1 species